AUGGCUGCAGACGAGGAGAGCCUGGACAGCCAGAGGACCUCAGUGGCUUCCCAGAUGCCUGCUGUGUACACCUUAAAGCCCUGUAAAUCAGACACUGCCUCCAGGACAUUGGGCUGCCUGGUAAAAGACUACUUCCCUGAUCCGGUGACUGUGACCUGGUAUUCGAACACCAAGAACAUGAGCACCUUGAAUUUCCCCUCCCUGAGCUCUGAACUCAUGAUCACCACCAGCCAAAUGACCACCUGGGACAAGUCAGCCAAGAACUUCACUUGCCACGUGACACACACCCCAUCAGGGUUCAACCAGAGUAAGGAGAUCAGAGGUAAGCAGGCCAACAUCACCCAGCCCACCUUGAAGCUACUCCAUUCGGCCUGCGACCCCGGUCCGUUUCAUGACACCAUUCAGCUCUACUGCUUCAUUUAUGGCCAUGUCCUGGAUGACAUCGCUGUCACAUGGCUAAAGGAUGAUCAGAAGAUGCCCAAUGCAUUUCCGAGUUCCGUCCUAAUCAAGAAGGAGGGCAAGCUAGGCUCUACCUACAGUGAACUCAACAUCACCACAAAGCAAUGGAUGUCUGACAGCGUCUUCACCUGCAGGGUCACCUCCCAAGGCGAGAUCUAUGAUGCCUCUAUCCAGAAGUGUUCAGAGGAUGAACCGCGUGGCGUGAGUACCUAUCUGAUCCCACCCAGCCCCGUGGACCUGUAUGUACACAAAUCUCCCAAGCUUACCUGCCUGGUGGUGGACCUGGAAAGCAAGGAGAAUGUCACUGUGGAGUGGUCCAAAGAGCACAGGGGGCUUUCAGGCUUGGCAUCCCAGAGUUCCACCAGGCACCGCAAUGCAACGACCAGCAUCACCUCCAUCCUGCCAGUGGAUGCCAGCGACUGGAUUGAAGGCGAACGCUAUGUGUGCAAAGUGACCCACCCUCACCUGCCCAAGCCCAUCAUGCGAGUCAUCUCCAAGGCCUCGGGCAAGCGCUCAGCCCCCGAGGUGUAUGUUUUCCCACCACCAGAGAAGGAGAACAAGGACAAACGCACGCUCACCUGCCUGAUCCAGAACUUCUUCCCUGAGGACAUCUCAGUGCAGUGGCUGCAGGGUGGGACACUGAUCCCAAACACCCAACACAGAACCACAACACCCCUGAAGUCUAGUGGCUCCAGUCACGGCUUCUUCAUCUUCAGCCGCCUAGAGGUCACCAAGGCGCACUGAGCACAGAAUAAACAAUUCACCUGCCGAGUGAUCCACGAGGCACUGCAAGAUUCUAGGAUUCUGGAGAAAACAGUUUCCAAGAUCCCUGGUAAAUGACGCCUCCCUCCACCCUUCCCAGGGUUCCAUGUAG